rnacentral:rRNA from 1 species
GAGUUUGAUCCUGGCUCAGAACGAACGCUGGCGGCAGGCUUAACACAUGCAAGUCGAACGCGUGUAGCAAUACACGAGUGGCGCACGGGUGAGUAACGCGUGGAUAUCUGCCUUUUGGUUCGGAAUAACCCCGGGAAACUGGGGCUAAUACCGGAUGGUUCCUUCGGGAUAAAGAUUUAUCGCCAAAAGAUGAGUCCGCGUACGAUUAGCUAGUUGGUGAGGUAAUGGCUCACCAAGGCGACGAUCGUUAGCUGGUCUGAGAGGACGAUCAGCCACACUGGGACUGAGACACGGCCCAGACUCCUACGGGAGGCAGCAGUGGGGAAUAUUGGACAAUGGGGGCAACCCUGAUCCAGCCAUGCCGCGUGAGUGAUGAAGNGCCUUCGGGUUGUAAAGCUCUUUUGGCGGGGACGAUGAUGACGGUACCCGCAGAAUAAGCCCCGGCUAACUUCGUGCCAGCAGCCGCGGUAAGACGAAGGGGGCUAGCGUUGUUCGGAAUUACUGGGCGUAAAGCGAGUGUAGGCGGUUGUCAUAGUCAGGUGUGAAAGCCUUGAGCUCAACUCAAGAAAUGCACUUGAUACUGGUGCGACUAGAAGG